CCACACACCUGGCAAGGGAAACACCAUGACGGUGAAGGUGGUUUUCCCAGGGUGCAACUCGCCCAUUGCACCCAGCUGUGCUGAUUCCUGCUCCUUCUCCAAAUGUGGAUUUUGAAAUGACUGCAUAUCUGUACCAGUGGGGAACUAUGCUAUGCUCCUCU
ensembl:snRNA LOC120094952 U1 spliceosomal RNA